AAUAAGAUCGUUUUUCAGUUUUUUAAUACAAUGUUUUGACUCUUCAUCUUAUUUGAAAUUUUUUUGCGACUAAUAUUUUUAUUCUUACUAGAUGAUAAAACAUGAAUAAUACUUUGUAUGUGACUAAUUUUUUAAAGAUUUUUUAUAAUUUUUCAAAUAAGACGAAUGGUCAAAGGUUGGACACGGGAAA
rnacentral:pre_miRNA from 1 species